CUCACCCAGGGGAGGUGGAGCCCCCAGACGCUGUGAUAUGAAAUUCCAGAUCAUGGGAGGGAGAGUUUGAAGAAGGAAGAACCACCAAUAGAAAGCGGUCCCCAAAGAGGUAUCGGGGAUGGCACCCAGACAGGAGCACAUGUACCACUGCCCAGAAUGUGCAUUUCACUAGACAAGUGACCACAAAAGUUUUCACUGUGACUUGAAAAUGCCCACUCCUCCCAGAAGUUCAAGGAACUGGACCCCCGGACAUGAGCCCAAGGUUCGCCGGCUUCAAAGAUCCUGGCCACACACCAGUGAGCCUGGCAGAGGCAGGCUUCUGGUCCUCUUUCCCAGUGAUUUCCUGCUGGCCUGACACCAAACUCCACUUUCCCUGAAUGACUCUAAUAAAAGUUUAUCAAAACU
rnacentral:lncRNA from 10 species